AGCAUUGGAGACAAAUUGUUUCCACGUAAUUUGUCAACGUAUUGGGAUUUGUAAUCUAUAUGGAAAAUACAUUGGAUUUGAAGAAAGUCAUCAACGUAAACUGUUGCUUUGAGGAUAACUCAUUUCAAACACAGGAUUAUGUCAUGGUGACAAACUGGAAUUAAAGCCAGGCUCAGGGGCACAGAUGGAGCUAUCCAAUCAGAAGAUACAUCUCCUUCAAAUGUUUAUAUUUGGUUGCGCUAACAACCAAACACAAUUCAGCAGCUGAUCAUCUGCAGCUGGCUCUGAUCGUAGUGUAAUGAAACAGGCAGAGAGAGAGUGAGACCGUCCGUGGUGGUCGGCGAACCCUCUACCUUAGCAAUCAACUGCGCCACAAAAGCAUGCUGGUAGUGGUAAAGUCGAUAUCCACGCUUAUAAACACAGGGUCGCUACAGUUAUUUAUGGUCGUAAACAUUUUGUGUGCAACCUAUUUUACAGUACAAGGGGAGGUACAAGGGGAGGUACCUGGUACCCCCCCCCCCCCAGUAAUUUUCUACCUGUCCCUUAAUGACAUGCUACAGUGAGCAACUUUCAUACUUUUCAUGAUGUUCUUCAUACAUGUAUUACCAAACAUUACUACGUGACUGUAUUUACUUAUUACUCCAUAGGUUACUCCUUUAUAGUUAUGCAUCGGUAAUGUGAAGUGUUUCCAAACAGAUGUAUUGACCAUGUCAUUUGUACUGAAAGUCGGGGUGCAUACAGUGGUUUGUUUCUCUGCUUACCUUGUCUGAGCAAGAGACGGUUUUCAUCCUAUUCAAUGUCAUUUUUCUGGACUCG